rnacentral:lncRNA from 1 species
UGCGUUUACUUUUCUACAUUGGCUAGAGGUAUAGGGGGAGGGUUGAGAUCUCACAAACAUGUUUCACCCCGCCGCAUUUUUGCGCCUGUCCCAAGUCAGGAGCCUCUGGCCUUUGUUAGUCUUGUAUUAUUUUAAUUUUAGUUUCUUGUGUACAAUUUGGAAAUUAGUAUGGCGUUCAUUAUCACUGCACUAGUAUAUAUUUGUUUAGGGGCCAGCUGAAGGACGCCUCCGGGUGCGGGAAUUUCUCG